rnacentral:rRNA from 1 species
AGCCUUUAGCCAAACAAGUAUUAAAGGUCCCGCCUGCCCAGUGAAAUUUUUUAACGGCCGCGGUAUUCUAACCGUGCAAAGGUAGCGUAAUCACUUGUCUUCUAAAUAAAGACCAGUAUGAACGGCUAAAUGAAGACAAACCUGUCUCUUAUGAUUAAUCAGUGAAACUGAUCUCUCAGUACAAAAGCUGAGAUACACCCAUAAGACGAGAAGACCCUGUGGAGCUUAAAACAAACCACUACAGCCUUAAUGCGUGCUAGUAUAAUGUUUUAAGUUGGGGCGACUUCGGAACAAAACAAAACUUCCGAGCACGGAGACACCCCCCUCCAACCAUGGCCAACAAGCCAAAGCCAAAGACCCGACCCGGCCUCGCCGAACAACGAACCAAGUUACCCCAGGGAUAACAGCGCUAUCUUCUUCAAGAGUCCCUAUCGACGAGAAGGUUUACGACCUCGAUGUUGGAUCAGGACACCCAAAUGGUGCAGCCGCUAUUAAAGGUUCGUUUGUUCAACGAUUAACAGUCCU